CGACCGGCGCACGGGUGAGUAACACGUAUCCAACCUGCCGAUGACUCGGGGAUAGCCUUUCGAAAGAGAGAUUAAUACCCGAUGGCAUAGUUCUUCGCAUGGUAGAACUAUUAAAGAAUUUCGGUCAUCGAUGGGGAUGCGUUCCAUUAGCUUGUUGGCGGGGUAACGGCCCACCAAGGCAUCGAUGGAUAGGGGUUCUGAGAGGAAGGUCCCCCACAUUGGAACUGAGACACGGUCCAAACUCCUACGGAAGGCAGCAG
rnacentral:rRNA from 1 species